UGGGGAAUAUUGGACAAUGGGCGAAAGCCUGAUCCAGCCAUGCCGCGUGUGUGAAGAAGGUCUUCGGAUUGUAAAGCACUUUAAGUUGGGAGGAAGGGCAGUAAGCGAAUACCUUGCUGUUUUGACGUUACCGACAGAAUAAGCACCGGCUAACUCUGUGCCAGCAGCCGCGGUAAUACAGAGGGUGCAAGCGUUAAUCGGAAUUACUGGGCGUAAAGCGCGCGUAGGUGGUUCGUUAAGUUGAAUGUGAAAGCCCCGGGCUCAACCUGGGAACUGCAUCCAAAACUGGCGAGCUAGAGUAGGGCAGAGGGUGGUGGAAUUUCCUGUGUAGCGGUGAAAUGCGUAGAUAUAGGAAGGAACACAGGUGGCGAAGGCGACCACCUGGGCUCAUACUGACACUGAGGUGCGAAAGCGUGGGGAGCAAACAGG
rnacentral:rRNA from 1 species